GGAAGCAAACAUAGUUCUAUAUAAUUAUAGAUAUAUUAUACAACUUCACAAUUUAGGAUGUUCAUCCGUGAAGCAUAAUAGUAUGAUCAGCUAUAUAACAUUAGCAAGGCACUGGUCCCCUGACGGAUCAGCACCAGACUUACCCCCUCUACUACGGAGGCUAACAUGGGAAAGGUUAGCUGUAAAUCAGCAUAUCUGCUAGACGAAGACAAGAUGAUUAUAACCUUUGGCGCAAGCUACCAAAAUAUACAACCAAUAUCCAGACACUCCCUGUACCUGGAAUAAAUAUAACACAGAUCCAGCUACAUGAUUGAGGUUUUCC
rnacentral:misc_RNA from 1 species